rnacentral:rRNA from 1 species
GACGAACGCUGGCGGCGUGCCUAAUACAUGCAAGUAGAACGCUGAAGAGAGGGGCUUGCUCUUCUUGGAUGAGUUGCGAACGGGUGAGUGACGCGUAGGUAACCUGCCUUGUAGCGGGGGAUAACUAUUGGAAACGAUAGCUAAUACCGCAUAACAAUGGAUGACACAUGUCAUUUAUUUGAAAGGGGCAAUUGCUCCACUACAAGAUGGACCUGCGUUGUAUUAGCUAGUAGGUGAGGUAAUGGCUCACCUAGGCGACGAUACAUAGCCGACCUGAGAGGGUGAUCGGCCACACUGGGACUGAGACACGGCCCAGACUCCUACGGGAGGCAGCAGUAGGGAAUCUUCGGCAAUGGGGGCAACCCUGACCGAGCAACGCCGCGUGAGUGAAGAAGGUUUUCGGAUCGUAAAGCUCUGUUGUAAGUCAAGAACGGGUGUGAGAGUGGAAAGUUCACACUGUGACGGUAGCUUACCAGAAAGGGACGGCUAACUACGUG